rnacentral:rRNA from 1 species
ACGGGUGAGUAACACGUAUGCAAUCCACCUGUAGCAGGGGGAUAACCCGGAGAAAUCCGGACUAAUACCCCAUAAUAUGGGCGCUCCGCAUGGAGAGCCCAUUAAAGAGAGCAAUUUUGGUUACAGACGAGCAUGCGCUCCAUUAGCCAGUUGGCGGGGUAACGGCCCACCAAAGCGACGAUGGAUAGGGGUUCUGAGAGGAAGGUCCCCCACAUUGGAACUGAGACACGGUCCAA